ensembl:lncRNA
AAACCACGGUAAGUUAUUGUCUCGCUGACAAAAAUCUCCAGGCCUCUCCUGAGAUCCAUUUUGAAGUGUUUGAACAAAUAAUUACCAGAUGUUUUUUCAUGAACAAGCCAUCUUGAUGAAAACACUUAAUCAGUGUCCCUCACGUUUCCCAAUUUGACAUUUUAAUGUUCUCUCUCUCUUCUCCAGUCGACAUCAGCUGAUACGGGUCUCCACACAGACAGAACGUAAAUAAAGACAGCAGGAAUUGAAAAGGGUCACACGCAUGUUGUGUGUCAAGCAGAAGAAGAAAUAAUUUUUCUGAGAGUCCAGUGAUCUUGAAACUAAUGUAUGGUGACUUUGUGUGCAGAACAUGCUGGUGGUUUACCGUCUGACAUGGUGCUAAAGGAGGAACACACGCUUGUCUCUGUAGUGAGCUUCCUGUAGCGUGUGCUCCUCUCAUCCAUAGCAGCACUAUCUGAGAUUCC